rnacentral:tRNA from 4 species
ACCCGCUUAGCUCAAUGGUAGAGCGCUUGCUCGACACGCAAGAGACGUGAGUUCAAUUCUCUCAGUGGGUAC